AGCGAACGCUGGCGGCAGGCCUAACACAUGCAAGUCGAACGAACCUUUCGGGGUUAGUGGCGGACGGGUGAGUAACACGUGGGAACGUGCCUUUAGGUUCGGAAUAACUCAGGGAAACUUGUGCUAAUACCGAAUGUGCCCUUCGGGGGAAAGAUUUAUCGCCUUUAGAGCGGCCCGCGUCUGAUUAGCUAGUUGGUUGAGGUAAUGGCUCACCAAGGCGACGAUCAGUAGCUGGUCUGAGAGGAUGAUCAGCCACAUUGGGACUGAGACACGGCCCAAACUCCUACGGGAGGCAGCAGUGGGGAAUCUUGCGCAAUGGGCGAAAGCCUGACGCAGCCAUGCCGCGUGAAUGAUGAAGGUCUUAGGAUUGUAAAAUUCUUUCACCGGGGACGAUAAUGACGGUACCCGGAGAAAAAGCCCCGGCUAACUUCGUG
rnacentral:rRNA from 1 species